rnacentral:lncRNA from 1 species
GCUAUUAAGAGUAUUUGUUAUGUGUACAUAUGCAUAACACACAUAUAUGCUUGUAGAUAUACACACACAGAUAGAUAGAUAGAUGUGUAUAGAAGUAUGCUGUUAUAGAAAAUAUUGUUUAUGCAUAUUUUAGAGAAAAACAUGUUAUAUAGAGAGAGAAUUGACACAUACCCACAUAUGCAAUAGUUUCCCAAUACUCAUUUUCAAAGACCCGUCUCUAACAGUUGAGUGGUAGAUUAAUUUGAAUGUAAAUUACAAAAAGUUUCCAGAGAUGUUAUGGCUCACAGUCCUGAGGGGGGCAAAUAGAUCCUAGAAUUCUGAAUAGAAACUAGAACACGCUAUAAGCUAUGAAAGAGAAGAGGUAAUUGGGGUGGGGUGGGGUGGGGGUGGGGGGCACCAGGACCAUUUUUCUCUCCAGAGAACUUGGUAUCCAAGGUCCUAGCUGCUACAAAGGGAUGCUUCCAAUCACCGCAUCCACUUCCCGCGCUUCCUUAGGGGAAGGCAAGACCAGGUGUUUGCACUUUCCCUUUCCACGCCCUCCUAGGUGCUUGAUGCCUUAAAAAUUCGAGAGGUGGUGGAAGAGGGAGGGAAGAAGAGGAAGAUUAACCCUGGAGAAAGGAGCUGGAAAGGUGAGUUGGAAGAAGCCUCUGGCUCCGUGCCACUUAGGCUCGCAUCGAUUAAAUGUUAAAUGACUGAAGGGUGGAGACUGGCAGCUGGUGAGGUGCGUCCGGGCCACCCAGAGCUCCAGGCAGCUCUCUUGCCGGGACGGUCCCGGGAAUGUUCCCAGUGCAGGACGGUGGGAGGCAAGAGGCACUACAUGGACCCCGCGCCCAAGGGAAUAUGUAUGUAUCCUAUAAGACUGGAACAACCUCCAGGAAGUGAUGCAGAGCGAGAGGAGCAGAACCAGGAGAACAUUGUACACAGAGACUAAUACACUGUGGUAUAAUCGAACGUAAUGGACUUCUCCAUUAGUGGCGGUGUAAUGUCGCUGAACAACUUGCAGGGAUCCAGGAGAAAAAAACACCAUUCAUAAGCAAAGGAUAAACUAUGGGAGUGGAAACACCGAGAAAAAGCAACUGCCUGAAUACAGAGGUUGAGGGGACAUGACAGAAGAUAGACUCUAAAUGAACACUCUAAUGCAAAUACUAUCAACAAAGCAAUGGGUUCAAAUCAAGAAAACAUCUAAUGCCCAGUGGACUUACGCGUCGGCUAUGGGGGGUAGGGGGGGAGGAAAAGAAAAUGAUCUAUGUCUUUAACGAAUAAUGCUUGGAAAUGAUCAA